rnacentral:tRNA from 3 species
GGAGAGAUGCCGGAGCGGCUGAACGAACCGGUCUCGAAAACCGGAGUAGGGGCAACUCUACCGGGGGUUCAAAUCCCCCUCUCUCCGCCA